UACGUAGGGGGCAAGCGUUGUCCGGAAUUAUUGGGCGUAAAGAGCUCGUAGGCGGCUCGGUAAGUCAGGUGUCAAAUCCUCAGGCUCAACCUGGGGCUCCACCUGAUACUGCUGUGGCUAGAGUCCGGUAGGGGAGCGUGGAAUUCCUGGUGUAGCGGUGAAAUGCGCAGAUAUCAGGAGGAACACCAGUGGCGAAGGCGGCUCACUGGCCCGAUACUGACGCUGAGGCACGAAAGCGUGGGGAGCAAACAGG
rnacentral:rRNA from 1 species